GUCCCUAGUGCAAUGGAUAGCCUGUUGGACUUCUAAUCCAAAGGGCAUGGGUUCGAAUCCCACCUGAGAUG
rnacentral:tRNA from 1 species